rnacentral:rRNA from 1 species
AUUGAACGCUGGCGGCAGGCUUAACACAUGCAAGUCGAACGGUAACAUAAAGGAGCUUGCUUCUUUGAUGACGAGUGGCGGACGGGUGAGUAAUGCUUGUGAAUCUAGCUUAUGGAGGGGGAUAACUACGGGAAACUGUAGCUAAUACCGCGUAGAAUCGGGAGAUGAAAGUGUGGGACCUUCGGGCCACAUGCCAUAGGAUGAGCCCAAGUGGGAUUAGGUAGUUGGUGAGGUAAAGGCUCACCAAGGCGACGAUCUCUAGCUGGUCUGAGAGGAUGACCGGCCACACUGGAACUGAGACACGGCCCAGACUCCUACGGGAGGCAGCAGUGGGGAAUAUUGCGCAAUGGGGGAAACCCUGACGCAGCCAUGCCGCGUGAAUGAAGAAGGCCUUCGGGUUGUAAAGUUCUUUCGGUAGCGAGGAAGGCAUUUAGUUUAAUAGACUAGGUGAUUGACGUUAACUACAGAAGAAGCACCGGCUAACUCCGUG